AUUUGGUAGCAGUGAAUAAUUUGCCUACGGUACCAAUUCUCCCGAGUGACAAAGUGGCUGUCUAGCAGCCUGUAGGCUGGGAAGGAGGAAUAAAUUUUUCUUUUGCAAUCUGCAUCUGAAGCCAGCUAUCUUGCAGGCAGAACCGGUACGCAAGAACACUAGGAUCGUGGUGUAAUGGAAAUAUAUGUUGUUGCUACUAUAAUCAAGAAUUGGCUUCGCCCAGCAAAGUUUAGGAUUGAUGCAAGGAACAAUAGAAAACUCAAGAAGGACGUUUGGGAG